UUUCAUGUUGCUCUUGUCAGGUGCUGGAGGAGGAGGAGCUUGGACUCUGAUGCCGGGGUCCUGGGCUGAGAUGGACAGGGUGGUGCAGGUGCUGAUGAGAAGGAUGCCCAGACCCACACAAAGCACGAGCUAUUGGCCGAUGAGAGCGGGGCAUAUGAAGCAGAUGAGGCUACCCAUGGUGGCUCCAGUCAGACCCAAAAUGGUUUCCACUAAAGAGACACAGAAGCAGACAUGUUGAUUUUGUAGUCUCACAAUGGUUUGUAAUCAGUAACAUCUGGAAAAGUGAUUUAAAGUUGAUUAAACACAGUGGUGGAAGCACUGAUCUAUAUUUAUAACCUCAAUUCUAAUAUACAUUUUUUCCCCAUUAAAUCGUAAUUUAUUCCAAACAGUCACUCAA